GGAGUAACUCCUUCUAAGCUAAAUAUCACCACGAGACCGAUAGCGAACAAGUACCGUGAGGGAAAGUUGAAAAGCACUCUGAAUAGAGAGUCAAAAAGUACGUGAAACUGCCUAGGGCUCAAGCCCGUUGAACUCGAUUAUCCGAGCGGAGACAUUCACCUGCGGUUGGUCGGCGACGGCAGACCGCAGGGCACUUGUCUCCCGCGUUCACGAGGACACUGCGAUCCAUUACGAAACAGCUUUGGCGUCCCAAGACGCAAGGUCGCCCGACAAUUGCCCCCUGGUGCUGGUUGCUUGUCCCACAGUAGCGACGCUCAUUUCUGAAGGCCUGUGCCGCGAGGUGGGGCUUACUGCACGUGGUGUUUGCAGUCGGGCGCGUGAUGGAUUCCCGCGUACGCCGGCGGUCUUCCCGUAAGGGGCCGCCGGACCGUCGUCGGCAGUGAAAGAAUCGAGGUACCUUCGGGACCCGUCUUGAAACACGGACAAAAUUAAAAACA
rnacentral:rRNA from 1 species